AAGAAAAAAAAUAAUUAAAAUCUCUCCUCAUCUCUCUCUGCUCGUACUCUAAACCCCGUCUUUCUUCUUCGUGAAAAGAUACCUUCCAUCGCCGGAUCUGCUCACGCCGCUCUCAGUGGCCGUUAGGUCCGCCGCCCUCACACCGCCGACUUCAGACUCACGAUCCUCAGCCGCCUCCCUCAAGUCGGCGAACCACACUACUCCAAUAGCCUCACGCCUCCGCCGUCGAUCCUGCCCAUCAGCCACCUCGUCGACGCCGUGCAUCGUCGAUUGGAGUGCCUCCGUGGAUCGCUGGUCGUGGAAGUUGCUGCCGGCUUCAACACCCACUCGUCGUCGUCUGCCGUUCGCCGUCACCAAAGGCCGCCGCCUUCGCCAGAUUCUUGAUUUUUGGGUUAAAUUUGAGGACUUAAGGUGAUCUCGGCGAUUGUGCUGUAAAGAAAAUGAUUGGUAAGUAAAAGUCCAAGACUUUUUGGAUUAAGUAUAUAAUGGUAAA